rnacentral:rRNA from 1 species
AUUGAACGCUGGCGGCAGGCCUAACACAUGCAAGUCGAGCGGGGUGAUGGUGCUUGCACUAUCACUUAGCGGCGGACGGGUGAGUAAUGCUUAGGAAUCUGCCUAUUAGUGGGGGACAACAUCUCGAAAGGGAUGCUAAUACCGCAUACGUCCUACGGGAGAAAGCAGGGGAUCACUUGUGACCUUGCGCUAAUAGAUGAGCCUAAGUCGGAUUAGCUAGUUGGUGGGGUAAAGGCCUACCAAGGCGACGAUCUGUAGCGGGUCUGAGAGGAUGGUCGGCCACACUGGGACUGAGACACGGCCCAGACUCCUACGGGAGGCAGCAGUGGGGAAGAUUGGACAAUGGGGGGAACCCUGAUCCAGCCAUGCCGCGUGUGUGAAGAAGGCCUUAUGGUUGUAAAGCACUUUAAGCGAGGAGGAGGCUCUUUUGGUUAAUACCCAAGAUGAGUGGACGUUACUCGCAGAAUAAGCACCGGCUAACUCUGUGCCAGCCGCCGCCGUAAGAC